GAGCUGUGAGUGGAGAGGAUCCUUGUCAAGGGUAACUCUUCCACGAUCAUAAGCUGGAUCUAGGAUGACAUGAAGCAGUUGCGAGCUCAUUCGCUGCUUCAUGAUACACAUCUAGGUGUCCCUCUAUCGGUUCUUUAUGAUGGUUGUUCGUCAUGUUUACCGAGAGACGAACAAUGCCAUAGAUUAGAUGGCUUCUUUUAUUGCUAAUCACACCAA
rnacentral:lncRNA from 1 species